GUUCUAUGCACGGAAGUGACAUUAGCCACGCUGGAGCUCUCAUUACUCCAUUGUUACAGAAAAGUGUAAAUAGAUGUAAUUUUAAAAUAAAGAACAGGUAAAAAGUUCAAUAAAUAUAUAUUUUCCAAGGUAAACUCAGAAACGUCUCUGCAAAUGGAACCCAUAAAUAGAGAAUGUACAUAUAUGUGCCAUGUGCUCAUUCUACCACUACUCCAGGGCAUUAGCAAUAACUCUAGUACACAUCAGCCCCAAUACAUACAAUAAAGUUAC